rnacentral:rRNA from 1 species
GACGAACGCUGGCGGCGUGCUUAACACAUGCAAGUCGAGCGGUAAGGCCCUUUGGGGUACACGAGCGGCGAACGGGUGAGUAACACGUGAGUAAUCUGCCUUUGGCUUGGGAAUAACUUCGGGAAAUCGGGGCUAAUGCCUGAUGUUUACUGUCUGCUGCAUGGUGGGUGGUGGAAAGAUUUUUUGGCCAGGGAUGAGCUCGCGGUCUAUCAGCUUGUUGGUGGGGUAAGUGGCUUACCAAGGCUUUGACGGGUAGCCGGCCUGAGAGGGUGUUCGGCCACACUGGGACUGAGACACGGCCCAGACUCCUACGGGAGGCAGCAGUGGGGAAUAUUGCGCAAUGGGCGUAAGCCUGACGCAGCGACGCCGCGUGGGGAUGAAGGCCUUCGGUUGUAACC